UACGUAGGUGACCAGCGUUGUCCGGAUUUACUGGGCGUAAAGAGCGCGCAGGCGGUCGUUCAAGUCGAGUGUGAAAGCCCCCGGCUCAACUGGGGAGGGUCACUUGAUACUGAUCGACUCGAAGGCAGGAGAGGGAAGCGGAAUUCCCGGUGUAGUGGUGAAAUGCGUAGAUAUCGGGAGGAACACCAGUGGCGAAGGCGGCUUCCUGGCCUGUUCUUGACGCUGAGAUGCGAAAGUGUGGGGAGCAAACGGG
rnacentral:rRNA from 1 species